UUGAUCGCGCUAUCUGCAGUCGACGAACUCUGGUAUUGAUUGGUGCUUGCAUCAUGAUUUACAUUUGAGUGAGUGGCGAACUGGUGAGUAACACGUGGGAAACCUGCCCAGAAGCGGGGGAUAACACCUGGAAACAGAUGCUAAUACCGCAUAACAACUUGGACCGCAUGGUCCGAGCUUGAAAGAUGGCUUCGGCUAUCACUUUUGGAUGGUCCCGCGGCGUAUUAGCUAGAUGGUGGGGUAACGGCUCACCAUGGCAAUGAUACGUAGCCGACCUGAGAGGGUAAUCGGCCACAUUGGGACUGAGACACGGCCCAAACUCCUACGGGAGGCAGCAGUAGGGAAUCUUCCACAAUGGACGAAAGUCUGAUGGAGCAACGCCGCGUGAGUGAAGAAGGGUUUCGGCUCGUAAAACUCUGUUGUUAAAGAAGAACAUAUCUGAGAGUAACUGUUCAGGUAUUGACGGUAUUUAACCAGAAAGCCACGGCUAACUACGUGCCAGCAGCCGCGGUAAUACGUAGGUGGCAAGCGUUGUCCGGAUUUAUUGGGCGUAAAGCGAGCGCAGGCGGUUUUUUAAGUCUGAUGUGAAAGCCUUCGGCUCAACCGAAGAAGUGCAUCGGAAACUGGGAAACUUGAGUGCAGAAGAGGACAGUGGAACUCCAUGUGUAGCGGUGAAAUGCGUAGAUAUAUGGAAGAACACCAGUGGCGAAGGCGGCUGUCUGGUCUGUAACUGACGCUGAGGCUCGAAAGUAUGGGUAGCAAACAGGAUUAGAUACCCUGGUAGUCCAUACCGUAAACGAUGAAUGCUAAGUGUUGGAGGGUUUCCGCCCUUCAGUGCUGCAGCUAACGCAUUA
rnacentral:rRNA from 1 species